rnacentral:rRNA from 1 species
GUAGGGAAUAUUGGGCAAUGGUCGGAAGACUGACCCAGCCAUGCCGCGUGCAGGAAGACGGCCCUCUGGGUUGUAAACUGCUUUUAUCUGGGAAGAAAAAGGCCAUGCGUGGCAAAUUGCCGGUACCAGAUGAAUAAGCACCGGCUAACUCCGUGCCAGCAGCCGCGGUAAUACGGAGGGUGCGAGCGUUGUCCGGAUUUAUUGGGUUUAAAGGGUGCGUAGGCGGCUGAUUAAGUCAGCGGUGAAAGACUUCGGCUUAACCGGAGCAGUGCCGUUGAUACUGGUUGGCUUGAGUGUCGGAGGGGUACAUGGAAUUGAUGGUGUAGCGGUGAAAUGCAUAGAUACCAUCAGGAACACCGAUAGCGAAGGCAUUGUACUGGCCGACAACUGACGCUGAUGCACGAAAGUGUGGGGAUCGAACAGGAUUAGAAACCCCGGUAGUCC